ACAUGUGACCAGUUGAUUAUCUUCAGCUGUGAGUACUAAUUCAGGGUGGUAGUAGGGAUGCAGUUGUCGGGUGUAUAUGCAGGACUACAUAUUCUGAACAUGAGAGAAUAUUAAUUCGCAACAUGUAAGGUCAGACAACCAAAAAGAGCAACAACAAAAAAAAGGUGGUCGAUUAACUGCUGAACUUGGAUAAAGAAGGUGGCUUGCACAAAUCUACUUCAACGGGGGACUAUUUGUCGCGCACCUUUCCAUUCGUCUCAACUGCGAGCACGCGUACGGUCGGUUGCAGUGUCAUCACACAGCCGUUUCCGUUUAAAACGGUACAGCAUGCAGCUGAACUGCAGUCACCCCUGGGCUAUGGAGUGAGACUGGAACUAUCCGCCCUCCUGAGGACGCAAGGAAAGGACCUGAGGACAGAGGAAUCAAGGAAACGUAGAUUAGGUCUGGUUUGUCCUGAAGAGGAACGGGCCGUCCGAAUCUGGCCCUGGGUCAGGGGCCACUCUGGGGCCACGCCGGCCCCUGUCCGAGAACAAACACAGAGGCACUCAUGCCGUCAACAC